CAGUCGCCACGGGAAUACGUAGGGUGCGAGCGUCAAUCGGAAUUACUGGGCGUAAAGCGUGCGCAGGCGGUUCGUUAAGACAGAUGUGAAAUCCCCGGGCUUAACCUGGGAACUGCAUUUGUGACUGGCGAGCUAGAGUAUGGCAGAGGGGGGUAGAAUUCCACGUGUAGCAGUGAAAUGCGUAGAGAUGUGGAGGAAUACCGAUGGCGAAGGCAGCCCCCUGGGCCAAUACUGACGCUCAUGCACGAAAGCGUGGGGAGCAAACAGGAUUAGAUACCCGUGUAGUCCCUGUCUCUUAUAC
rnacentral:rRNA from 1 species